UGUUUAACAGACUUCUGUUUAAUUUUAGAAGAUGUUAUUAUACUAACAUGUAUUUGUUUUACAGACAUUACUUUUUGCUUCCCCAUUUGCAAGAUUUGGACAGACUGGAGGUCUGGGCAAAGAGGAACCUAAUGAAGUUCAACAAGAAUAAGUCUAGAGUCCUGCACCUGGGGAGGAAUAACCCCAUGCACCAGUACAGAUUAGGAUCUGACCUGCUAGGAAGCAGCUCUGUGGAGAAGGACCUCGGAGUCCUGAGGGACAACAAGUUAUCCAUGGGACAACAAUGUGCCCUUGUGGCCAAGAAGGCCAGUGGUAUCCUGGGGUACAUUAAGAAGAGUGUGUCCAGCAGGUCGAGGGAGGUUCUCCCCCUCUACUCUGUCCUAGUGAACCACAUCUGGAGAAUUGUGUCCAGUUCUGGGCUCCCCAGUUCAAGAGGGACAGAGAUUUACUAUAGAGAGUCCAACGGAGGGCUAUGAGGGUGAUUAAGGGACACUUGUCUUAUGAGAAAAGGCUGAGAGACCUGAGACUGUCUAAGCUAGAGAAGAGAAGACUGAGAGGGGAUCUUAUUCAUGUAUACAAAUAUCUGAGUGGUGGGUGUCAAGAAGGAGGGACCAAUCUCUUUUCAGUCAUGCCCUGUGAUAGAACAAGGAGCAAUGGGACACAAACUGGAGCAAAGGAAGUUCACCUCAGGAUGAGGAAAAAGGUCUUUACUGUGAGGGUGACAGAGCACUGGAACAGGCUGACCAGAGAGGUUGUGGAGUCUCCUUCUCUGGAUACUUUCAAGACCCGUCUGGAUGCGUUUCUGUGUGACCUGCCCUAGGUGUUCCUGCUACAGCAGGAGCAAUGGACUCCAUCUCCAGAGGUCCCUUUUAUACCCUAACAUUCUAUUACUCUGUUAUUCUAUGAAAAAUGAUGUUUUAUUCACAACUGGUAAAUCAACGAGUACAAAAAUGAUGAAGAAAAAUAUGUCAGGAACAUUAAAAAUAAUUAAAAUAAGAUGACCUUUCUGCUCCCAAGUUAACCAUGUGAUUUAAAAAAAAAAGAGACCAGCCAGUAGGUACCAGCAAAGCUGAUUAAACUUCAAAUUUAUUUCCCCACACAUAACACCAAAUUUGGAAAAGCAACGUUAUAUAUUCACUGUGUUUCAUGCUUGGUGUUGCAUGAGUGAAUCUAUUUCUGUUUGACCAAAAGGCCUUAGAGGACCAGAUCAACACUGAAAGAAAAUCCCAAUUGCAUUAAGAGCACAUCACUGUAUUCCUAUUCCAAAAUCCUUUUUCAAAUACCAAAGCAAAAAAAAAAAAGAAAAAGAAAUGUAAUGCAUCUUGAUCUAGGAAUGUGAAAUGGAGGAUCAAAAUGGCAACUUCAAUUUGUUGUUUUUAAAAAAGUCCUCUCCUUGUGGGACCCCAGUCUUGCCUAGAAAGCUGAUGGACCUUUUUGCAAACAUCUUGCUCAAGCAUCUCUGAAACACUCAGGAAUACAAUUGGCUUUCCAGACUGUAAUACUGUCUUCUUAAGAUGGCGAGUACCCAAAGUGUUUUGAUGUACAUUUAAAAUUGACACCUGAUCCAUAUAUUCUUCCCUGUGCAAGAAAACCUGGUUCCAUGGUUGAGUUCUGAAGCCCUUGCUUUUUUGAAAAAAAGUGAGUGGUCCAGAAAAGCAGCAGGUCCAUUCGUAAUGUUGAGGGAGUACCAUUACAGAUGAGGUCUGUAGAGGUGCAGUUUUUUAGGGUAUCUCUAAAGUUAGAUCCUAGCCAUGCUGUAUUGCAUAAGUGAUGAUGAUUUGGCAGUAAUUAUAAGAUCUGCAAUAUAUUCAGAGCCUGAUUAACUUUAUUGCUUUCCUCCAAAUGUAUUUCUCUAUAUGGUGCUACUUGGAGCAGGCGGCUGGAGCAAAACAACAAGGUUGCAGCUGUUGAAAAAUGUGUACAGCAUCCACAAUGUGUAAUACAAAUCAACAAGUGCCACUGAGAGACAGAGGGAAAUACACUUCAAAUUUUGGCCAGAAAGAGGCAGCAGGGACAGCACUCUAAGAGAUCUUCCAAAGGAUGCAAAGUUUUUGAUGAAUUGAGAAGUGAAGAUAAUGGAGUCAGGGAAAUAUGGUCUGCUUGAUGACUGAAGAUAUAUAUUAAUUUCCCAUGAAGAUUUGGCAUUUCUGCUUUACAGAAAUGGUUUCCACCUGAAGUUUUUAACCUAAACCAAAACAAUUGCAUAAACCAACAGUGCUAAAGCUUCAAUAUUAAUGCAAACUUCUUCCUUCUAAAUCUCUUGGACCCCAGAAUUGGAGCUGGAUACAGCACAAAUUUAAGUUUUAAAUUUAGAGGAAACUCAAAUCACUGUGGAUCAUGUUAGUUUUCCUUGCAGCUGUCAGCCCCAUCUACGAGAAACCAGUACUUCUGAGCUGCUGAAAAUCUAUAUAUUUGGAUCAGUAUGUCAAGAUCAAUUAAGAAAGUAUCUGUAGCUUUGCCAUGCAAGAUUUUCAGCUUUACAUUUUCUUAUCUAAUUGUAUUUGUCUGAAGUAAAGUAAGUGCCAAAAGAAGAGAGGGAGUGAAAAAAAAAAGAAAAAAAGAAAAAAAAAGAGAAAGAUAAUGCUGCCUGUCUCAACCAGAGCAAAAGAAACAACAACAAAUUUAUUAUAACCAAAUAACUGUGCUUCUUCCAUCUUUUUUCCUUCCCCUUCUGCUUUGUUCUCUCCUCCAAACAAAGAAGUUUCUCCUACUGGGCUUCUCCUCUGCUUACCAGAUCUGGCUCCUUUCUGCUCCCAUUUUCCCCACAGUCCCUUCCCCCACCGCCUUGCCAGUCUCUUGCCCAUUCCCACUGAUUUUCCAUCCUCCCUCCCAGCACUUCUGGUUCUUUGUUCCCACAGGACUCUGGGGAUGUGCAGCAGGAGCCCAGCUCUUCCAUUUCUUUUUAUUUUUUUUUUCUCAGGGGAAAAAUCUGGAGCAUUUGAAAUCCCAUUCACAGCAAACAAGACAAUAGCAGAGAAGAGAAGGAACGAUCAUAUACCUCAAGAAAAUGAUGUCAUAAAAUGCAGCCAUGUUUUCCUUCAGAAGGAGAUACACAUGCAACUUGCAUGCAAUUAUGACAGAUUUAAGUCAUUUGUAUAGAUUUAAGGACUUCCCUUCAUAACACGUUUGACAACAUUUUAAAAAGCACAUUUAUGCCUGUGAAGGAAAGUGAAAUUAGGCUGAACAGCCAAUUUGGACAGCAGUUGCCUCAUAAGGUUUUCAGAAAGCUUUUACACAUAGACAUAAUUAGUAUCUUUUAAAAUCUGUGUAAAGACGUUUAGCAAGCAACUAGCCUUCGGUACUAGAGUACAGAAAAGCCUCAUGUGCAUAGUAUUAACCUGCUCCUGUGGCGGUGGGCUGGGGAGGAGAAUUGCAUUCUCUUUAAAGAGGGAGAGAAAGUACAACUACCAUUUUCCCAGCUUGGAAGGCGUAUCCCAAAUUCUUCAUCAAAACCACGAAAACCAACUUUCAUAGCCACCAUACUGUGAUUAUGAGAAUAGCUGUCAAAACAUGUUUAAGCAACUAAAAAAAGGUUUAUAAAGUGAUCUAGAUGAUCUUUAAGGUCCCUUCCAACCCUAUCCAUUCUGUGAUUCUAUGAUUCUGUGAUGUGGUUCUGUUACUUAUUCACCUUAUUUCAGAAAGGUAGAUUACAAAUGAAGGACUUUUGCUUUCUAUUCAGGUUCUUCUAACAGUUUUAAAAAUCCUGCCUGCUUUCAGUUUGUUUUUGACAAAAUCAUAAGGUGUUAGUCAGCACUGAGUAAACGGAACAAGCAGCUGUCAGACCAGUCCAUCAGUCUGCUUAGGUUGUGUGGCUGCUGAGGAAGCUGAAAGUGCCUACAAAUUCAUUAUCCCUAAUAUCAAAAGAUUGAAAGAGUCAAGUGUUGCUCUGCAUCACAGCACAUAAAUUACUUUACAGGGGAAUUACCAGGCAUCCUGAUGAACCUAUGAAAAUGGGCAGAUGCUAAUAGGCAGUAAAAUAAUUUCUCUAGUUCACUUCUGCUGUUUGUUUGCAUACUGCUCUGGAACAGAAGAGAAAUUUGCUAGUAUUUCCAGCUGAAUCCUCCUCCCACACAUUGAAACAGUGAAAUUCUACUUGAGUUAGGACAACAGGAGAGGCAAUUGAAAGGGGCCCUAAGGAUUCAGACUCUUAAUCACAACUGUGACAAAACAGUGUCAUCCUUGCCUGCAAUUCCCUAGCAAUUUACAGUGCACCAGUAUAACAGGAGGAGACCUUGCAUUGCAAAGAAACCUGCCUAGAUAAACAGACCCUCACUUUCUGAUUUCCCUGCUCUUGCUGUAUUACACAAAUCCUAGUGAUUAUCAGUUACUCUGCUAUCCUGAAACCAUUUGGGAGCUACGUUUUGGCCCUGACAUUGUAUCUAAAGUUGUUCAGAAACCAAAGUCAGUACAGACUUGGGUUUCUGAAUAAUCCAUUUAAUGAGGGCAUUGCUGUAGGACUGUGUGAAUGCACAUCCACAGCCCCAGUAAGCUCCAAUAGGAGCUUAAGAGUUUUUAUUAUAGGGGCAACCUAGAAUCACUCACUCCAGCUGAACUGUGGUUUGGACUCCUCCCCAAAAGUGGCUUAAUUUUUCCAUAUAAGACAGAAAUUAAAUUGCUGGGCACCUUUUCCCUAGGAGGUACUGGAACCACCUUCCUCACAUCUGGGCUGCUCCAAGUUUAGCAGGUGUUUUAGUUUAUUAAAAAAGAAACACAUAAUUAGGAACUUGGGGAAAAAGUUGAGGAACUUCAGUGAUAACUUUCCAAAACAGAAAAAGACCUCAAGAAAGGGUUAAGAUUUUUAAUUUUUUUUAAAGUCAUUUCUGGGCUUAUUUCCUACUAAGCAAUUGCUCAAAUGUAAAAAGUUUUUGUUGGACUGUCAAGAGUAAGUUAAAUAGAUGCAAAUAAAGGCAUAUUUUAAAUUAUCUGCAUGUAAUUAAAGGUAAUUUAAAAUCUAAGGAGAAAGCAAUGUAAAGUGUAUAGGCCGAGAAAAUAUCUCAAGGAUCAAUCCUCACUUUGAAAGAGUGUGAUAUUUCUAACAACUUGCUGGUGUAUCAAUAAAUGCCAAACCCAAAUAAUUGUUUGAAAUUAUGUCCUUAAACAAAACAUAUUGAAAUUGCCAACCUCUGUUAAGCACCACAAAGAAAAGAAACUGUAUGUAUUUGGGGUGAUUUUUUAAAUACUGUAAUUUCCAUGGCUCUCUUAGGUUGUAUCUACUGUCUGUCAAAUAAA